AAUUAGUCGAAUGUAAAAUGUAUCCAAGGAGGAUUCUUUUGUUCAUUGCCCUCUGUGUUUUAUUUUUCAUAGUGCCAAUUAAUGGUGAAUGCAUUAAAUCAAGACUCGACUGUCAAUCCGAUGAGCAAUGCUGCACUGGAAACUGUAGAAAAUUAAGGGUCGCCGUCCAGGCAAAAUGCGCAUAAAAAUCUUUUCGUGUGCUAAAGCAAGAAACGCAGUUCUCUGCCAUAAUGUGUUGAAAAUUUUGUAUUGUAUUACUAUAAAUAUAGUAUAAAUAUAGUAUAUAAAUAAAAAGGAACACAGCCCACAUGUUUUUACAUUUUUAAUGAAAUUCUGCAUUAUUUAUUCAAGAAAUGAUUUUUAGAGCUUUUUGCAUUAUACGAGUUCAUGAAGAAAAUAGUGGGUUCUUUAGUCAAUGCUGAUACACCUACUUCCAUUUCCGAUAAAGGGAAAAGUUACUAAUAGUUUACAAAAAUUGCAUCAUUUAUUUAAACUUAUAUAUAUUUCAAUAUAACGAUAAUGUUUAACGAUCUUUAACGAUCAUUAACGAUCAUUUUAGGGGAGAAAGACAAUAAAAAGU